rnacentral:rRNA from 1 species
UACAGAGGUCUCAAGCGUUGUUCGGAUUCAUUGGGCGUAAAGGGCGCGUAGGCGGCAUGCCAAGCGUGUGGUGAAAGCCCGGGGCUCAACCCCGGGUCGGCCGUGCGGACUGGCGUGCUCGAGCACUGUAGGGGCGGGUGGAAUUCCGGGUGUAGCGGUGGAAUGCGUAGAGAUCUGGAGGAACACCUAUUGCGAAGGCAGCUCGCUGGGACGUAACUGACGCUGAGACGCGAAAGCGUGGGGAGAAAACAGG